UACGUAGGGGGCAAGCGUUAUCCGGAUUUACUGGGUGUAAAGGGAGCGCAGACGGCUGUGUAAGUCUGAAGUGAAAACCUGAGGCUUAACCACAGGAUUGCUUUGGAAACUAUGCAGCUUGAGUACCGGAGGGGUAAGCGGAAUUCCUGGUGUAGCGGUGAAAUGCGUAGAUAUCAGGAAGAACACCGGUGGCGAAGGCGGCUUACUGGACGGUAACUGACGUUGAGGCUCGAAAGCGUGGGGAG
rnacentral:rRNA from 1 species